AGCGAACGCUGGCGGCAGGCCUAACACAUGCAAGUCGAACGGACCCUUCGGGGUUAGUGGCGGACGGGUGAGUAACACGUGGGAACGUGCCUUUAGGUUCGGAAUAGCUCCUGGAAACGGGUGGUAAUGCCGAAUGGGCCCUUCGGGGGAAAGAUUUAUCGCCUUUAGAGCGGCCCGCGUCUGAUUAGCUAGUUGGUGAGGUAAUGGCUCACCAAGGCGACGAUCAGUAGCUGGUCUGAGAGGAUGACCAGCCACAUUGAGACUGAGACACGGCCCAAACUCCUACGGGAGGCAGCAGUGGGGAAUCUUGCGCAAUGGGCGAAAGCCUGACGCAGCCAUGCCGCGUGGAUGAUGAAGGUCUUAGGAUUGUAAAAUCCUUUCACCGGUGAAGAUAAUGACUGUAGCCGGAGAAGAAGCCCCGGCUAACUUCGUGCCAGCAGCCGCCGUAAGAC
rnacentral:rRNA from 1 species